rnacentral:rRNA from 10 species
UCAUGCUGCCACACCUCCAUGAAAACACCCGAUCUCGUCUUAUCUGGGAAGCAGCAUGGUCGGGCCUGGUUAGUACUCGGAUGCUGGACCGCCUUGGAAUACCAGGUAAUGCAAGUG